UACGGGGGGGGUAAGCGUUGUUCGGAAUUACUGGGCGUAAAGGGCUCGUAGGCGGCCAACUAAGUCAUACGUGAAAUCCCUCAGCUUAACUGGGGAACUGCGUGUGAUACUGGAUGGCUUGGAUUUGGGAGAGGGAUGCGGAAUUCCAGGUGUAGCGGUGGAAUGCGCAGAUAUCAGGAGGAACACCAAUAGCGAAGGCAGCUCGCUGGGACGUUACUGACGCUGAGGCGCGAAAGCGUGGGGAGCGAACAGG
rnacentral:rRNA from 1 species